UUUUUCAGUAAUUUCCUCAGUUUCUUCAACUAUAAAAUGAGGGAAUUAGAUUAAAUGACCUCUGUGCUCUCUUCUAACUUGUUCUCAAUGUUCUGUGAUUCUCUAAACAAUGCCUCUUGGAGUAUCCAUGGUGAUGGUAAAGGAGAGCUCUCAGACAGAAGGGUCCAGAAUGAUCCUGAGUCUCCUCUUCUCAGGUUAAAAAGUGGGGAGAGGAGAGUGACCUCAAGAUAAGUGAUAAUGAAGUGUGGAUCUCACUUAUUGGAAGACCAGUG
rnacentral:lncRNA from 1 species